rnacentral:rRNA from 1 species
UACGUAGGGUGCGAGCGUUGUCCGGAAUUAUUGGGCGUAAAGGGCUCGUAGGCGGUUUGUCGCGUCGGGAGUGAAAUCCACUGGCUUAACUGGUGGCUUGCUUUCGAUACGGGCAGACUGGAGGUAUGCAGGGGAGAACGGAAUUCCUGGUGUAGCGGUGAAAUGCGCAGAUAUCGGGAGGAACACCGGUGACGAAGGCGGUUCUCUGGGCCUUACCUGACGCUGAGGAGCGAAAGCGUGGGGAGCGAACAGG